CAGAACCCACUGUAGGACUUAGCAGGUGGCCUACAUUCUGGGCAAGGCAGUUCUGUCGAAGGAGCUUCUCUACUGCAGGAUGCUAAAAGGCACCCCUGCUUCUUCCCAGCAGAAGGCAGUAGAAACCCCCAGUUGUGAAACCUACCUCCAGACACUGUCAGAUAUCUCACGGGGGAAAAGUCACCCUUAGUUGAGAACAUCUGCUUUGGAUUAACAGGAAGUAUCCGAUGCUGUACCACAAUCAGGUCGUCUUCCCUGAAAUCGUAAAACUCCAGAGACUCUGAGUCUCGGUAUUGGGCUGUGGUGCUUGGCUGCCAAGCUGCCUGUUUGUCGAACAUUGUGGUGGAGACGUAUCAGCGAUCUGUAUCUGGGAUUCAAAGCUGGAAGCCACUUACUGGCUGUGUGGCACCCGAGACUCAAUAUCUAUACCUGUGAAGUGGAAUAGUAGAGUUGUCUGUGACGAGUUAGCAGCAUGGCUCCUGAGGAACGUCUACAAUGUCUGGUUUGAUAGGACCAUGGACCAUCAUAUGGAGCAGAGAACAAAGUGAUAUGUCAGUGAACGGAAGGAUGAGCUCUAAACUCUAUGCCAGCUGACUGACGGAGUGGCACAAAACCUUUGCAAUUGGACCAGUGCUUAAAAUCACCCAAGGACAAUGUCGGAAGCUACGAGAAAGACUCAGUCUUGGUUUGGAACUCGUUAUUCCCAGUGGGCUUCAGGAAUACAGUAUGAGCCUAACUGCAGCUUCAACCAUCUCCAAAGGCACCUGUCCACGUGCAAGGAUUUUCUUUUUCUUUUUUUAAUUGCAUUUUUAAAUUUAUAUUUUAAAUGUUAUUCCAUUUCCUGGUUUCCCCUCCAGAAACCCGACAUUCCCCUCCCUUCUUCUAUGAGGGUGCUCCCACUCCCCACCCACUCCCUCCCAUCUCCCCGCCCACUCCCCACCCACUCCCUCCCAUCUCCCCGCCCUGACAUUCCCCUUCACUGGGGCAUUGAGCCUUGACAGGACCAAAGGCCUUUCCUCCCAUUGAUGCCCGACAAAGCCAAAGGAUUUUCUUUUUGUCAGCACUCUCAUCCAGAAAAUUGGGGAGGUGUUCUUGCAGUCUAUUAUUUGUGCUCUCUUAAUUGCCAUGUUGUAAAUCCCAUAUUUCAUGUGGUAAUUUGUACAAUAAGAAAAUAAAUCCAUAGACAAAGAUGUCCUGUGUGAUCUCAGAUCAUAACCAGUAUCUCUGUUCAGCCCGCGUGAAGAAGCAGAUCCCUCCAAGAACCAGCUAUUUAAUUGGUGGCGGCCGGUGCAUGAUGAAAUGCUGGGCUCCAAACAGAGAUAGAAAGACACACAACAAAAUAAAGAGACAAAUAAACACCGACAGACUCUUCCAUACAGACAAGCAGUAGUAGAGCUUAAACCGAGCACACGAUCCAUCGAACGCAGGGACAACGCAUAGGUUGCAUGCCAGGAAACUGGCUCGAAACCUAGGACUUUGGAACUCAGAGGGACAUCACAGGACACCUACUCGCUGACGUGCCAGUUUCAUUUGGAGAUUCAAUUCUGCCAGCUCUCAGCUGCCUAGAAGAACAAGAGCCGUGCAUGGCCUGGCACCUUCCGAGGGGCCCCACUAGGAGUUCCUGUUUCCCCACUUGGACAUCGCUACUGGCUUGUGUGCUUUCUGGAUGCAAACGUGCAGCGUUUCUGGACUCACAAGCCUCUCAGGUCUUGCCCACUGGCCAGCUCUUUCCCUAAUACCUGGAACCUAUUUUUAGGUGACCUACAGUGGAGAGAUUUGACAUGUAAUUUUCAUGCCUGAGGCUUGAAUUUGACAGGGAAUGUUAGGAAGAAUUUAAUUCAAUGCAACUCACACAUUAGCCAGGGCACACUGAUGCUAUUUUCUCGACUGCCUACUAAGACUUUCUAUUUUAGGUCUUUCCUCCUUUCCUUCAGUGCCCUUUUCUAAACGUUUUCCCUCACUUCACAGGUCUCACUUGCCAGUGCCGUGCCCUUCGCUGCCUACCGAUUUCCUUUCAAUUGCCUGCUGCCAGCCUACUUCAUUCUCUGUGAUGAGUGAGGGAGUAUGGCUGCCAGCUUCCACUCUGUCUUCUCCAGGUUCCUUUAGACAAUGCCUUCUUUGCUGUAGCUGUGUUCUCUUCCUAGUGUCUAGACCAUGGAUAUAAGGAUUGGAUCACUUUCUCCAACCAUAACCCAUCAUGUAGUACUCAUUCUUGAUCAUGCUUCUUGCUUCUCCUCCUCCCUUGUUUCCUCCACUUCCUUUCCACCACCCUCCCCAUCUGUAUUAGUCUUCUAGAGUGCCCAGAAUGUGCGGCCAUGCAGUGUGAAUAUCUCAUGUUCCUCAGCUUUUUCCCCUUAGGACCAAGGUAUAGCCUUAGGACCACGGAUUAUCCUUCCAUUUUCUUAGAACUCUAACACACACACACACACACACACACACACACACACACACACACACACACACACACACACACGGUGAGUGGCAUCUGUCCCACCAGGUCCUUUGAAGAGCUGAGUGAAAUGAUGUAUAAAGUACUUUGCAUUGGCAAGGGGGAAGACUCCAGCAUGGUCUAGAGAAGAAAUAUGAAGGAGCUUCUGCCUCAGGCCUGAAAUGGGUGACCUGAGGAGGCCAUUUUCAGUGUAGGAAAUAAAGUAGAGAGAACUAAUUUUUACAAAUCUGCCUGAAGUGAAAGUGGACUAGAGAGGAGGAGAUAUGUUCCCCUUGCAUAGGAAGGUACAGGAAGACCGGAAGUUAAAACAGUAAGUGGAUUAGGGACUACCUUCAGCUCUUGUGUAUUUGCAGGCCCACCUUGGUUGGAGUGUGAGAUGGCCACUGGGUGGGCAGGCAUAGUGGGUGUAUACCUGAAUGAUUCAUCUUCUAGGGCAAUAAUGAGGUAGAGAAGCAAAUGCCCAGAACUUCUCUUGUUUUUUUCCUUCUUUCCUUCCUUUCUUUCUCCCUUCCUUCCUUCCUUCCUUCCUUCCUUCCUUCCUUCCUUCCUUCCUUUCUUUCUUUCUUUCUUUCUUGUUUUCUUUCUUAAUUCUACAUGAAUUCCUAUUCUUACUUUUAGUGCACAGAAUAAUACAUUUACUAUGACAUAUAUAGUCUACUCAUAUUCUCCCACCCCCAUUGCCCUCUGUUGUCUCUCCUCCCCAAUAGCCCCAUAUGGGUACCUCUCAAUGUCUUGGUUUGUUUGUAGACCACUCAUACACAUCAUACUAAUGAUUGGAGAUUCCUUAACUCUAGUCACUACAACUGGGGCUCAGCUAAGCAUACUCCCCACAAUAGUUUGUGGAAUCAAGUUCCAUUUGAUACGUGAGAAAAUUACUUUAUAUGGCUUAUAAAUAAACAAAAGGUCCUGAAAAAAGUCCGUGGAGAUAAAAAUAACCCAGCAAGCAGCACCGAGGCUGAAGGGUUACUUCUUGCACAAUGAAGUUGUGUCAUUUGGAAUCUUUGGAAAGUGUAUCAGACUUUCCACUUCCUGAAGAUCUUGCUGUUCUAGCGUUUUCUCCACAUGGUAAAAGGCAUCAGAAUAGACUUUGAUAAAACAGAAUAUUUUUAGGCAUUGGAAUGGGCCAGACUCUGCCAAAUUUCUGGCCUUUGGUAUGUGCUGCUGAGCAACGUCAGAUGCUCACACGGACACAUGCUGGCAUUUACAAGGCAGGAGGUGGGCUCUGCCAAGUUCAGAAGCAUCGCCUUUUUCAUCAGCUCCCUGUAACUUCCUCAAAUGCGUCUGUGCAUUUACUGUUGGCUACCGAAGAGGGGACAAGCAGCAGUUCUGAUAGAAUUCUCAUAGAACUCUACUGCAAAUGUAUUCAAGGACCUUAGAAAAGUCUAGAGGAGGCCUACUGCUUUCUUUCUAUAAAUGUGACCUUUUGU